rnacentral:rRNA from 1 species
UUACUGGGUGUAAAGGGCGUGUAGGCGGGACUGCAAGUCAGAUGUGAAAAUUAUGGGCUCAACCCAUCACCUGCAUUUGAAACUGUGGUUCUUGAGUGAUGGAGAGGCACGCGGAAUUCCGUGUGUAGCGGUGAAAUGCGUAGAGAUACGGAGGAACACCAGUGGCGAAGGCGGCCUGCUGGACAUUAACUGACGCUGAGGCGCGAAAGCGUGGGGAGCAAACAGGAUUAGAUACCCUGGUAGUCCACGCUGUAAACGAUGGAUACUAGGUGUGGGGGGUUUGACCCCCUCCGUGCCGCAGUUAACACAAUAAGUAUCCCACCUGGGGAGUACGAUCGCAAGGUUGAAACUCAAAGGAAUUGACGGGGGCCCGCACAAGCGGUGGAGUAUGUGGUUUAAUUCGAAGCAACGCGAAGAACCUUACCAGGGUUUGACAUCCUACUAACGAAGCAGAGAUGCAUUAGGUGCCCUUCGGGGAAAGUAGAGACAGGUGGUGCAUGGUUGUCGUCAGCUCGUGUCGUGAGAUGUUGGGUUGAGCCCCGCAACGAGCGCAACCCCUAUUGUUAGUUGNUACGCAAGAGCACUCUA